GGUGAGUAACAUGUGGGUAUCUUCCCUUUGGUGAGGAAUAACACGAGGAAACUUGUGCUAAUACCUCAUAAGUCUUUACGGAGAAAGCUUUAUGCGCCAAUGGAUGAGCCUGCACUUGAUUAGUUUGUUGGUGGGGUAACGGCCUACCAAGACUUUGAUCAAUAGCUGAUCUGAGAGGAUGAUCAGCCACAUUGGGACUGAGACACGGCCCAAACUCCUACGGGAGGCAGCAGUAGGGAAUAUUGCACAAUGGAGGAAACUCUGAUGCAGCGAUGCCGCGUGAGUGAAGAAGGCCUUUGGGUUGUAAAGCUCUUUCGUCGGGGAAGAAAAUGACGGUACCCGAAUAAGAAGGUCCGGCUAACUUCGUGCCAGCAGCCGCGGUAAUACGAAGGGACCUAGCGUAGUUCGGAAUUACUGGGCUUAAAGAGUUCGUAGGUGGUUAAAAAAGUUGGUUGUGAAAUCCCGAAGCUUAACUUCGGAACUGCAAUCAAAACUUUUUAGCUAGAGUGUGAUAGAGGAAAGCAGAAUUUCUAGUGUAGAGGUGAAAUUCGUAGAUAUUAGAAAGAAUACCAAUUGCGAAGGCAGCUUUCUGGAUCAUUACUGACGCUGAGGAACGAAAGCAUGGGUAGCGAAGAGGAUUAGAUACCCUCGUAGUCCAUGCCGUAAACGAUGUGUGUUAGACGUUGGAAAU
rnacentral:rRNA from 1 species